rnacentral:rRNA from 1 species
AUUGAACGCUGGCGGCAGGCCUAACACAUGCAAGUCGAGCGGUAGAGAGAAGCUUGUUUCUCUUGAGAGCGGCGGACGGGUGAGUAAUGCCUAGGAAUCUGCCUGGUAGUGGGGGAUAACGUUCGGAAACGGACGCUAAUACCGCAUACGUCCUACGGGAGAAAGCAGGGGACCUUCGGGCCUUGCGCUAUCAGAUGAGCCUAGGUCGGAUUAGCUAGUUGGUGAGGUAAUGGCUCACCAAGGCGACGAUCCGUAACUGGUCUGAGAGGAUGAUCAGUCACACUGGAACUGAGACACGGUCCAGACUCCUACGGGAGGCAGCAGUGGGGAAUAUUGGACAAUGGGCGAAAGCCUGAUCCAGCCAUGCCGCGUGUGUGAAGAAGGUCUUCGGAUUGUAAAGCACUUUAAGUUGGGAGGAAGGGCAUUAACCUAAUACGUUAGUGUUUUGACGUUACCGACAGAAUAAGCACCGGCUAACUCUGUGC